rnacentral:rRNA from 1 species
CCUACGUGCGGCAGCAGUGAGGAAUAUUGGUCAAUGGGCGCGAGCCUGAACCAGCCAAGUCGCGUGAGGGAGGACGGCCCUACGGGUUGUAAACCUCUUUUGCCGGGGAGCAACGGGCGUCACGUGUGGCGCCACGGAGAGAACCCGGAGAAAAAGCAUCGGCCAACUCCGUGCCAGCAGCCGCGGUAAUACGGAGGAUGCGAGCGUGAGCCUGAUUUAUUGGGGUGAAAGGGUGCGUAGGCGGAUCGUUAAGUCAGUGGUCCAAUUGAGGGGCUCACCCCCUUCCCGCCAUUGAAACUGGCGCUCUUGAGUGGACGAGACGUAUGCGGAAUGCGUGGUGUAGCGGUG